UGCGCCGCCAUGUUGUACGGAAGCGGCCGCCGGGAGCGGUGUAGACGGGAACGCGCGGAGCUUCGGGUUUGCGGUGAGGCUUCGAUAUUUCUGUUUUAUUUCCUUGUGGCAUUUUUGAAGCAUCUAAAGGAAGCACCAUGGGAUGUAUCAAGUUGGAAAACAGUGGAGUCACAGAAAUGAACAGGCUGUUGGCCAUCUCCUACAUGAAGAUGGAAUCCAAAUGAAUGAAAAAUGUGAAUGAGAGAAGGAAAGACUCAGAGCCAGUUGAAGAAAAUAAUAUCUUUGUGAAGUUUAAGCCACACAUCACAAAUGGACAGGACUGAGUUGGAGUUAAUGGUACUCAAAUCCUUCACAACUGUAUUGUGAGCACCGAGGAAGAAUACAAGAGCACUAAGUGCCAUUUCUUUAGCAGUUCUCUACCUUUCAAAUGCUUUUGACAAAGAUUUAUCCUUAUUUUUUUGUUUGUGUCCAUGUGAGUGUGUGUCACAUGUCUGUGGGUGCCCAUGGAGGCCCACGGAAGAAAAGAACAAGAAAGCAACUGAGUACCUGAUUCCCAGUGAAAGAAAACAUAGUCUUUCUGUAAGGCCAAGCCCAGGAACCCUGGCCGAGGCCGGAGCAUCAGAAAGAUUGUCCAGAGAAGGAGGCCACACCCAGAUGUGGGCAGCAGAGACUGAACCAGCCCAUCAGGGAAUGGCAACUUCUAUUGACAAAUUCUGAACAACCAAAAGAAACCACCAGGGUCUCUCUGAGGCACAGACGACAAUCAGAGCUGGAGUUCUUAGACACAAAAGGACAUGCUUGGAAUCGGGUUCCCUGGAAAUAGGCAGACUGCGAGCACGUGGGAAACAACUUGUAAGAAGUGCAGCUGCCUGGGUUUCUUCUGGCCUCCGGGUUAACUUUGUCACCAAUGAGCCUCACAGUUCAUUGGAAGUCCUUGUAAAGCUCGCUUAAGUGGAAUUCAAUUAAACGAAGCCAUGAACUAAC